rnacentral:rRNA from 1 species
GAUACUUGGUGUGAAUUGCAGAAUCCCGUGAACCAUCGAGUCUUUGAACGCAAGUUGCGCCUGAAGCCAUUAGGCUGAAGGCACGUCUGCCUGGGCGUCACGC